rnacentral:rRNA from 1 species
CUGCUGCCUCCCGUAGGAGUUUGGACCGUGUCUCAGUUCCAAUGUGGGGGACCUUCCUCUCAGAACCCCUACGCAUCGUCGGCUUGGUGGGCCGUUGCCCCACCAACUACCUAAUGCGCCGCAUGCCCAUCCAUGACCGGGGUCGCCCCCUUUGACCGGCAGGGGAUGUCCCCUCCCGGCAUUAUGUUGUAUUAGGCGGGAUUUCUCCCGGUUAUCCAUCUGUCACGGCCAGGUUGCAUACGUGUUACUCACCCGUGCGCCGGUCGCCGGCGG